GCUUCACGUGGGUGGCAGGAGUUCCUUCUUUCUUUAGCAGCUGAAGUGGUUUGUUUUUCCCAAGGACAAAUAUUCUGCCCAGCAUGUGAUUUGGAGAAGCUGCGGGAGAAGGCAGGAGCAGAAACACUGCGUCACAGGCCCGGAGCCCUGGAAGGUGGCGCGGAUGACCUCCUGAACCAAAUCAGCUUCCAAUCAGCUGGGGUUGACUUUGGGAUUCCGGGUGAAGGAACCAGAUUUUGUUUAUCUGACAGAGAGAGAGACAGCACAAGCAGGAGGAGAGGGAGAGGCAGGCUCCCCACCAAGCAUGGAGCCUGAUGUGGGGCUCGAUCCCAGGACCUCGGGAUCAUGACCUGAGCCGAAGGCAGACGCUUAACCGACUGAGCCCCCUGGGUACCCCUAAACCUCUGUUUUAAGCGUUACCCCAGGAAGGAGAGAUUGAAGUGAUGCUGUCUGCAUGAAAGAACCAAUCACUGAGCAAGAGAGCAUUCAUCCUAAUUUCUAUCUUCCCUCCGCUCAAGGUUAAAGUGAGGAUGCUUUUACCUCAGCUCUGUUAUACUCAACGUGCCCAGUUUGAGGCUUUGCCGGUAAAGGCUGUGACAGAAGGAGCAAGGAAGGUGCAGAGCUGCGCCCGAGCCUAGACGUGAGCUGUUCCUAUGCGAGAGCACACCCUGGAUGUUGGGAGGCUUCUGCUUCCCACAAAAACAUCUACACAUGAGCACACUCUUUCUCAGAGAAGAAGAACCCAUAGCUCCAUAAAACAAAAUAAGUAAACAAAAACAAAAACAAAGACAAAUACAAAACCCAAGUUGGCUGUUAAUGCAAUAAAUGAAGUUGAAACAUGA